GACGAACGCUGGCGGCGUGCCUAACACAUGCAAGUCGAACGAAGCAAUAAAGACGGAGAUUCGUCAAAGCCUUUAUUGACUUAGUGGCGGACGGGUGAGUAACGCGUGAGCAACCUGCCUUUCAGUGGGGGACAACAGUUGGAAACGACUGCUAAUACCGCAUAAUGCUUUUGAGCGGCAUCGCUUGAAAGCCAAAGAUUUAUCGCUGAAAGAUGGUCUCGCGUCUGAUUAGCUAGUUGGUGAGGUAACGGCUCACCAAGGCGACGAUCAGUAGCCGGUCUGAGAGGAUGAACGGCCACAUUGGGACUGAGAUACGGCCCAG
rnacentral:rRNA from 1 species